UGGACCAGUGUCUGGGGAAAGAAAGAGAGCCAAAGAGGUGUCCAGAUGGAGUAGAGGAGAUAAAUGGAUGCCUUCACUUGUGUGCGCUUUGCCAUAUGCACAGACACCACGGACUUUGGAACAGCAUUCCUGGCACCUUUGAAACACAAGAAACAAAUCAACAAGAAUGUGUUCCCUGGGGAUGAGAACCUCUAACCUGCAGAGUCCAGAGUUGCAAGGACCAGUAGCCCAAAGUCAUCUGGUGGGUUAUUGGGCAUGGC